rnacentral:miRNA from 1 species
GAGAAUUGCUUGAGCCUGGGAGGUGGAGGUUGCAGUGAGCUGAGAUCACGCCACUGCACUACAGCCUGGG